rnacentral:misc_RNA from 1 species
AACAGAUGGCAGCAAAGUCAAAGUUAUUUCAUUAUUAAGCGAAAAUUACGCUGGCUGUUGCCAAUUUAAUUGUAGUUGACAAAUGUCCGGGAUAAUUGAAGAAAAAACCGGCAUGUUGCCACGCAUAGCAUUGAUAGCAUGCGGCAGCUUCAGUCCACCAACGCCUAUGCAUAUGCGUUUGUUCGAGAUAGCGCGAGAUUACUUUGAGAUUCGUGGCAGCCACAAGGUAGUGGGCGGCAUAAUCUCACCCACACACGACUCCUAUGGCAAGAAGGGGUUGGCACCCUCCCUGGAUCGCUGUGCCAUGAUCAAGCUGGCCGUGCAGAGUUCCAAUUGGAUUCGGCUGUCCGACUGGGAGGUUCACCAGUCGCAAUGGAUGCGCACGCAAUCCGUGCUGCAGCAUCAUCAGAACUAUCUCAAUAACUUCAUCAACUCACCGGGCGAUGGGGAGCAGCAUGGCGUGCUGCCAGGUUGGCUCCCAAAAAAUCUCACGGAACGUCGAGAUCCCAUCAAACUUAAGUUGCUCUGCGGUGCGGAUUUAUUGGAGUCCUUUGCAGUACCCGGAUUGUGGUCAAAUGAUGAUAUUGAGAAUAUUGUGGCUAAUUAUGGACUGGUUGUCAUAUCGCGCUGUGGAUCUAAUCCCGAGAAAUUCAUAUUCGAAUCGGAUAUUUUAACUAAACAUCAGUACAACAUUACGCUCAUCACGAACUGGGUGCCCAAUGAAGUGAGUUCCUCGCUGGUGCGUCGGCUUCUCAAUCGGGGGGAAUCGGUCAAGUAUCUUUUGGAUGAUUUGGUGCUCAGUUAUAUAAAUCGUCAGGGCCUGUACAAUGUGAAAUCAGACAAAACGGCGUCCGAGGAUAACGCUUGACGCUGUCCGCCAUGCACUUUGCACCAUUUAGACGAAGCACCAACAACCACAACUAGAACCACAACAAAAACGACGCAGGAGCAGCAUCACAACCACAAUCAUAAUCAAGAUCUUCACUUGCACUGGCGCCUGUUCAUGGAGUUAAGUAUAUAACGGAUGC